rnacentral:rRNA from 1 species
GAUGAACGCUAGCUACAGGCUUAACACAUGCAAGUCGAGGGGAAACGACAUCGAAAGCUUGCUUUUGAUGGGCGUCGACCGGCGCACGGGUGAGUAACGCGUAUCCAACUUGCCCACCACAUGGGGAUAACCUUGCGAAAGAAGACUAAUACCCAAUGAUAUCUCUAGAAGACAUCUGGAAGAGAUUAAAGAUUUAUCGGUGAUGGAUGGGGAUGCGUCUGAUUAGCUUGUUGGCGGGGUAACGGCCCACCAAGGCGACGAUCAGUAGGGGUUCUGAGAGGAAGGUCCCCCACAUUGGAACUGAGACACGGUCCAAACUCCUACGGGAGGCAGCAGUGAGGAAUAUUGGUCAAUGGGCGAGAGCCUGAACCAGCCAAGUAGCGUGCAGGAUGACGGCCCUAUGGGUUGUAAACUGCUUUUAUAAGGGAAUAAAGUGAGUCUCGUGAGACUUUUUGCAUGUACCUUAUGAAUAAGGACCGGCUAAUUCCGUGCCAGCCGCCGCAGUAA